rnacentral:tRNA from 1 species
ACCUGGGUGGCUCAGUUGGUUAAGCGUCUGACUUCAGCUCAGGUCAUGAUCUCCUGGUUCGUGGGUUCAAGCCCCACAUCAGGCU